rnacentral:rRNA from 1 species
GACAGAGGGUGCGAACGUUGUUCGGAAUUACUGGGCGUAAAGCGCGUGCAGGCGGCUCUGCAAGUCCGGUGUGAAAGCCCAGGGCUCAACCCUGGAAGUGCACUGGAAACUACGGAGCUUGAGUCCUGGAGAGGAGAGCGGAAUUCCCGGUGUAGAGGUGAAAUUCGUAGAUAUCGGGAGGAACACCAGUGGCGAAGGCGGCUCUCUGGACAGGUACUGACGCUGAGGCGCGAAAGCGUGGGGAGCAAACAGG